rnacentral:rRNA from 1 species
UGGCCGCGGCGCAUUAGCUAGUUGGUGGGGUAAAGGCUUACCAAGGCAAUGAUGCGUAGCCGAACUGAGAGGUUGAUCGGCCACAUUGGGACUGAGACACGGCCCAAACUCCUACGGGAGGCAGCAG